rnacentral:rRNA from 1 species
UACGGGGGGAGCAAGCGUUGUUCGGAUUUACUGGGCGUAAAGGGCGCGUAGGCGGCACCGCAAGUCGACUGUGAAAUCUCCGGGCUUAACCCGGAAAGGUCAGCCGAUACUGCGGGGCUAGAGUGCAGAAGGGGCAACUGGAAUUCUCGGUGUAGCGGUGAAAUGCGUAGAUAUCAAGAGGAACACCUGAGGUGAAGACGGGUUGCUGGGCUGACACUGACGCUGAGGCGCGAAAGCUAGGGUAGCAAACGGG